rnacentral:rRNA from 1 species
CCUACGGGAGGCAGCAGUGAGGAAUAUUGGUCAAUGGACGCAAGUCUGAACCAGCCAAGCCGCGUGAAGGAAGAAGGUGCCAAGCGUUGUAAACUGCUUUUGUCAGAGGACAAAAUCAGACUCGCGUACCUGACCGAGAGUACUUGACGAAAAAGCAUCGGCUAACUCCGUGCCAGCAGCCGCGGUAAUACGGAGGAUUCGAGCGUUAUCCGGAUUUAUUGGGUUUAAAGGGUGCGUAAGCGGUCGGUUAAGUUAGAGGUGAAAGCCCGGGGCUCAACUUCGGCAUAGCCGCUGAUACUGGUCGUCUAGAGAGGAGUUGCGGUAGGCGGAAUG